CCUCCUUUCUAAGGAUGAAUGAAAGUAAAAUUUCAUUCUAAAUAAUAUACAUCGGUAAUGUUGACCGUCCUCAUUUCUCUUCUUAAAGUAAUGUUUCCUUCUUGUAGGGCCGGUAGCUCAGUUGGUUAGAGCACACCCUUGAUAAGGGUGGGGUCGAAAGUUCGAGUCUUUCUCGGCCCACCAAACUUGACUGGGGGAUUAGCUCAGCUGGGAGAGCGCCUGAUUUGCAUUCAGGAGGUCAGCGGUUCGAUCCCGCUAUCCUCCACCAGGAAACAUUUAGUUAUUAAAACUGUAAAUAAAAAUAAUUAAUAUCAAUAUCUAUAUCCGAACAUUAAAAGUUAUUAUUUAAUGUUCAAAAUAAAAAUUUGAUCACAACACAGAAAAUUUUUUCUGUGCAUAAAUCAAGCGUUUAAGGGCGUGUGGCGGAUGCCUUGGCACUGAAAGCCGAUNAAGGACGUGAUAUACUGCGAUAAGUUUCGGGGAAGCUGUAUGUAAGUUUUGAUCCGAAAAUUCCGAAUGG
rnacentral:misc_RNA from 1 species